UCUCAGAAACCGAAGUCAGUUCUGGUUGUCCUUUGGUUAUUUCAAUGAAACGAAGCCUAAAGACGUAAAUAUGCUAGAGAACUUUUUGUGAAAAAUUGCAGCGGAACUUUUAAAUAGGCCAUUAGGAGAUGUCGCAAUACAUCUCAAAACAUCAUUUAAAAGAUUGCGUAUGUAUUUCCGUUUAAGUCAGCAACAGUAUUUCUCAAUAUUUAAAUAUGUCUUGAUUUUCAUGUACUUGUGUCAUUUAACCCGAAGUAAAGGAACAUAAGUGGCAAAUAAAGCCGUUAAGCAUUAAUGAUCGCUCGGAGACUCGGCUGGGAAUAUUUUUUAGUUGAAAUGGACAAAAUAUGAUAUCUCGCCAGAGUAAGGACUUUCUCAUACGGAUCGCUGGAUAUUGGAGACCGCUUUUCAGAUGCAUAUUUCUGAUCGUGACAAACACGGUGACAUGUGGGGGGGAUGUUGGCGGCAGGCGACUUCAUCCAGCAGACGCGAGAGACACGGAAGACACCAGGCCGAACACGUGACUGGUUCCGUGCAGUUGACAACCAAACAAAUAGACUUACAGAAAACAAGUUUAAAGUUUACCUUGUUUAAAACAAUGUGUUAUUUAUUAAAUAAUAUUUAUUAUUAGUAUUAUUAGAAUACAUAUGCCCUGUGCGGGAUACAUUAAUCUCACACACGUCCUGUCAUGAAAAUAAUGCAAGAUAAAAUCUGACAGUGUUGCGCCCCCUACAGGUUGUAUGUUUGCAGUUGUAUGCUCUGUGGGGCCAUUUGUGCAUUAUUGAUACCAGUGGCUCGACAAGUUCUUUGUCGGUAAUGGUGUCAAUAAUGUCUGCAAGAAAGAGCUUAUUGAUCAGAUGGUCGCAUCUCCAACACUAGGGGCCUGGUAUUUUCUUGGCAGAUUGGUGUGUUUGGCCAGCAGCUCAAAUGGUGAACUUCUACUUCUUGCCACCAAAGUUCUGUGUCCUUAUGUGAAUAUAAUUACCCUGGGAUGGGACACUUACCUCUCCUACCUCAAACACAGAGAAAGUGCCAUAAAAGAUGCUGAUUGAACAUUUGAAGAAUUCUGAUGAAACAGUGGACUAUUUAAAUAAGCAGCUUUGAUCACAAAAUUAAACAGAUUCUCAUUAAGCAAGAUUGUUAAUGGACAAUUUAGUGUUUUUAUUUUAUUUUAUUUUAUUUAAUUGUUUUCAUAAAAAAAUGUAUCUGGUAAUGUCAGGUACAUUGACCAUUUUGCCAUUGCCAUGUUGUUUCAAGGUGUUUUUAAAGAUUUUGAAUAAUAUUUUAACUGUCCCGAAUCUGUGAAUAUUGAGGACGAUUUAAAAGAAAAUUAAUAUCAGUGUAAAGUUUUACAAUUGUUUAUAUAUAUAUAAAUUCUUAUAGUUUACAGUUUUUAAUUUAUCUUAGGUAAAUAAGUAAAAUUAAUCAACUAAUUAAUUUGUUUCUCUUACCAGGGUAACGUCGCCCUCAAAAAAGCCUCAAGCUUUCAGCUCAACCGACUUUCCACUGUUAAAAUUUGAAAUAGCAUGCUCCCGCGUUUUGAUCAGUUGCGUGUCUGCAAGCGCGCGGCUUAAAUGCGCCUUUGCGCUAUGUAGAUGGGGGGGAGGGGGGGAAUAUGACAUAAAAUAAUGGACUGAAAAACGCAAGCGCAGAAACAUAGCGCGCAAGCAAAUUACAGUAGAGUAAGCACAGUAACAAAGCUUGCAAGCAAAAUGUAAAGCUGCAGAAAUCGCAAAUUCCAGACUUGAGAGGACAAAAUAUGAUUGUACACAUCAAUCAAUACGCUUGGUAAGGGUCGGUUGCCUACCCACUCAUAGACUCUAUGCUACCACUAUUUAACAUGCUAAGGAUCCUCUUAAUUUUUUUGCCCUUUUCUUCCUUUUUUUUUGUAGCGUAUAAAAAUAAAAUAUUUGGAUUGCAAUUUUACUGACUUAAUGACUCAAAUUAUUUUCAUCAAGAUAAAAUUGCCUCCUUUUCGAUUAGAAUGAGAGUUUGUAAUUAGGUCAGGUAGUAAUUCGAUUUGGCAUUCCUGACAGCAGAUGUACCCUACUGUGCCAGUGUCCUAGGCCACCCUGAAAGUUCUUAUUAAAACCAUUUACCUGAGUAAAUGUUUAUCUAAUUAGUUAAAACAAUUAAUAACAUUUAA